rnacentral:rRNA from 1 species
AUACGGAAGGUCCGGGCGUUAUCCGGAUUUAUUGGGUUUAAAGGGAGCGCAGGCGGAGAUGCAAGCGUGACGUCAAAUUUCGGGGCUCAACCCCGUCUCGCGUCGCGAACUGCGUCCCUUGGUUGCGGGAAGGGGAGGCGGAACUCGUGGUGUAGCGGUGAAAUGCAUAGAUAUCACGAAGAACUCCGAUCGAGAAGGCAGCCCUCCGGCCCGUCAACGACGCUCAUGCUCGAAGGUGCGGGUAUCAAACAGGAUUAGAUCCCCUGGUAUUCCGCACAGUAAACGAUGGACACCCGCGGUUUGGCCUGUAUGGCUGAGCCGCCAAGCGAAAGCGUUAAGUGUCCCACCUGGGGAGUACGCCGGCAACGGUGAAACUCAAAGGAAUUGACGGGG